GUGCUUGCUUCGGUAGCCCAUAUACUAACGUUGGAAUGCUAUAGAAUUAGUGUGGUCCCUGUGCAAUGAUGACAUGCAACUGUGUGAAGCAUUGAAUAUUUUU
ensembl:snRNA U6 U6 spliceosomal RNA